rnacentral:rRNA from 1 species
UGGGGAAUAUUGGACAAUGGGCGGAAGCCUGAUCCAGCAACGCCGCGUGAGGGAUGACGGCCUUCGGGUUGUAAACCUCUUUCAGCACAGACGAAGCGCAAGUGACGGUAUGUGCAGAAGAAGGACCGGCCAACUNCGUGCCAGCAGCCGCGGUAAUACGUAGGGGUCCGAGCGUUGUCCGGAAUUUAUUGGGCGUAAAAGGGCUCGUAGGCGGUUUGUCGCGUCGGGAGUGAAAACACCGGGCUUAACUCGGUGCUUGCUUUCGAUACGGGCAGACUAGAGGCAUUCAGGGGGAGAACGGAAUUCCUGGUGUAGCGGUGAAAUGCGCAGAUAUCAGGAGGAACACCGGUGGCGAAGGCGGUUCUCUGGGAAUGUCCUGACGCUGAGGAGCGAAAGUGUGGGGAGCGAACNGGAUUAGAUACCCUGGUAGUCCACACCGUAAANGUUGGCGCUAGGUGUGGGAUCCAUUCCACGGGGUUCCGUGCCGCAGCUAACGCAUUAAGCGCCCCGCCUGGGGAGUACCGGCCGCAAGGCUAAAACUUAAAUGAAUUGACGGGGUCAUAGCUGUUUCCU